rnacentral:tRNA from 1 species
UUCGAAAUAGUUUAUUUAAAAUUUCUCACUUUCACUGAGGAGAAGGAUUCCCCUUUCGAAA